GGCCCUUACGGGGUCCGAGUUGUAAUCUGUAGAGGAUGCUUUUGGCGACGCGCCUUCCGAGUCCCCUGGAACGGGGCGCCAGAGAGGGUGAGAGCCCCGUAUGGUUGGACGCCGAACCUUUGUAAAGCUCCUUCGACGAGUCGAGUAGUUUGGGAAUGCUGCUCAAAAUGGGAGGUAAAUUUCUUCUAAAGCUAAAUACCGGCCAGAGACCGAUAGCGCACAAGUAGAGUGAUCGAAAGAUGAAAAGCACUUUGAAAAGAGGGUCAAAUAGCACGUGAAAUUGCUGAAAGGGAAGCGCUUGUGACCAGACUUGCGCCCGGUUGAUCAUCCAGCGUUCUCGCUGGUGCACUCUGCCGGGUUCAGGCCAGCAUCGGCUCUCCCAGGGGGAUAAAGGUCGCGGGAACGUAGCUCUCUCCGGGGAGUGUUAUAGCCCGUGGCGGAAUGCCCUUAGGGGGGGCCGAGGCUCGCGUUCGCAAGGAUGCUGGCGUAAUGGUCACCAGCGACCCGUCUUGAAACACGGACCAAGGAGUCAAGCAUUAGGGCGAGUCUUUGGGUGCAAAACCCGCAGGCGCAAUGAAAGUGAACGGAGGUGAGAGCUUCGGCGCAUCAUCGACCGAUCCUGAUGUUCUCGGAUGGAUUUGAGUAAGAGCCUUACCGCUUGGACCCGAAAGAUGGUGAACUAUGCCUGAAUAGGGUGAAGCCAGAGGAAACUCUGGUGGAGGCUCGCAGCGGUUCUGACGUGCAAAUCGAUCGUCAAAUUUGGGCAUGGGGGCGAAAGACUAAUCGAACCAUUAACUAUUACUAGGUGGUUAAGAGGCCCGGUCGCUAAGACCAGGCCUAGUUAUCGGCGCUUACAGCGCUGGUAGCGACACUGUCAAACUGCCGGGGACUGCCUGAUCGAAGCCUAAGCUACCGCUUACCCGCCGAAAGACGGGCAUAGCACCGGGUCUAACGAGCCUGGGUAUGGUAAAAACGCUUAAGCUAGGGCAUAUCCGCAGCCAACUCCUCGUGGUCCCCCCUCCCGGGGCGGCCAGUGGAGGCAGUUCACAGACUAGAUGGCAGUGGGUCCGGCGACGUUUACCGCCGCCGGGCUUAAGAUAUAGUC
rnacentral:ncRNA from 1 species